CUCAGGUACUUCUGGAGGCCUUGAAGGAUUGUUUGGACUGUCAUGAGGCUGCUACAACUGAGUGCACAUAGCAACUUGAGUAGACCUCAUUUAUCCUAUUCAAAAAUGGUAUGAACUAACCUUGUGGUGUUGAGGACAAAAUAUUAAGCAGAGCAGUAAAGAAGGUUACUCUGAAGUUACAAUUCAUACCUGGGACGUAUGGAUUGGCAUCAAAUCCUGAUGGAACAAAUGAAAAGUUAGUGGCUGGACACCUUUCUACUGACUUUCUGAGCCAAAAAUUCCAUGUACUGUGGACAUGCAUGUUUCCUAAUGUGUGAGGAUCUGGGUGAAAGUGAA